UACGGGGGGAGCAAGCGUUGUUCGGAAUUACUGGGCGUAAAGGGCGCGUAGGCGGUCUUCUAAGUCUUGUGUGAAAUCCCUCGGCUCAACUGAGGAACUGCACGGGAUACUGGAAGACUUGAGUUCGGGAGAGGGAAGCGGAAUUCCGGGUGUAGCGGUGAAAUGCGUAGAUAUCCGGAGGAACACCGGUGGCGAAGGCGGCUUCCUGGACCGAUCACUGACGCUGAGGCGCGAAAGCUAGGGGAGCAAACGGG
rnacentral:rRNA from 1 species